UGCCAGCCGCCGCGGUAAUACGUAGGGUGCAAGCGUUAAUCGGAAUUACUGGGCGUAAAGAGUGCGCAGGCGGCUCUCUAAGACAGGUGUGAAAUCCCCGGGCUUAACCUGGGAAUGGCGCUUGUGACUGGAGAGCUAGAGUGUGGCAGAGGGGAAUGGAAUUCCUGGUGUAGCAGUGAAAUGCGUAGAUAUCAGGAGGAACACCGAUGGCGAAGGCAGUUCCCUGGGCCAACACUGACGCUCAUGCACGAAAGCGUGGGGAGCAAACAGGAUUAGAUA
rnacentral:rRNA from 1 species